GACGAACGCUGGCGGCGUGCCUAAUACAUGCAAGUCGAGCGAAUCGAUGGGAGCUUGCUCCCUGAGAUUAGCGGCGGACGGGUGGGUAACACGUGGGUAACCUGCCUGUAAGACUGGGAUAACUUCGGGAAACCGGAGCUAAUACCGGAUACUUUCUUUUCUCGCAUGAGGGAAGAUGGAAAGAUGGUUCUGCUAUCACUUACAGAUGGACCCGCGGCGCAUUAGCUAGUUGGUGAGGUAACGGCUCACCAAGGCGACGAUGCGUAGCCGACCUGGGGGGGUGAUCGGCCACACUGGGACUGAGACACGGCCCAGACUCCUACGGGAGGCAGCAGUAGGGAAUCUUCCGAAAUGGACGAAAGUCUGACGGAGCAACGCCGCGUGAGCGAAGAAGGCCUUCGGGUCGUAAAGCUCUGUUGUUAGGGAAGAACAAGUACGAGAGUAACUGCUCGUACCUUGACGGUACCUAACCAGAAAGCCACGGCUAACUACGUGCCAGCCGCCGCCGUAGUAA
rnacentral:rRNA from 1 species